rnacentral:rRNA from 1 species
CUGGCGGCGUGCCUAACACAUGCAAGUCGAGCGGGGACAUGCGACGGAUAUGAAGUUUCGGAUGGAGUUGAAGAUGUAUGUUCUAGCGGCGGACGGGUGAGUAACGCGUGAACAAUCUGUCCUUCACAGGGGGAUAACACAGCGAAAGUUGUACUAAUACCGCAUGAGACCACGGUACUGCAUGGUACAGGGGUCAAAGGAGCAAUCCGGUGAAGGGUGAGUUCGCGUCCGAUUAGAUAGUUGGUGAGGUAACGGCCCACCAAGUCGACGAUCGGUAGCCGACCUGAGAGGGUGAUCGGCCACGUUGGGACUGAGACACGGCCCAAACUCCUACGGGAGGCAGCAGUGGGGAAUAUUGGGCAAUGGGGGGAAACCCUGACCCAGCAACGCCGCGUGAGGGAAGAAGGUUUUCGGAUCGUAAACCUCUGUCCUAGGUGAAGAGGAAGAGACGGUAGCCUAGGAGGAAGCCCCGGCUAACUACGUGCCAGCAGCCGC